UCGCCUAGGAUCGGAAUGAGAGACGGCUCUAGCCGCUCUCAGACGCGACCUAUAUCCUCUCUCGGAUCACCCGUACUCCGGCCUCCCAUGCAAUACACCAUGUCGGGCCAACCAACCUCGGGCACGUUCCCCUAUUCCCACACGCCAAAACCACAUCCAAAUCACUCAGUCACACGAUAUGCACGGUCACACGCCAGGUCACGACAGCUGUCGCGCCCUAUGAUAGGACAAUGAACGUUUCGUGUGCCUGACGGCGACUCCCCCCCCAGCGUGCGGCGCAAUGUCAAUGCGGCGCUCGUCUGCAACGUCUGGGCCUGUGCAGGGUGUGCCGUAUGCAUAUUGCCAGUCUGCGUGCGUGUACGUCUGUCCCAGAGCAGUCAUGCGUCUGAAAGUCUCACAAACCAUGCCUACACUGCCUUGGUGUGAACCGCAAUGGAGAGGGCUCGCGGGCGUGAUAGCCAUGCGCGUUGAGCCUGUCGCUCCGUUCACGGCGGCUAAUGGCGAACCUCAGACAUAACACAACCAAAUGAGCCUCAGGGCAUUCAGGGCACCACUCCUAUGAGCUCCUGGGCGAGCUGGGGCAUACAGCGCCUCCAACAUCGAUGCAACGUGUGCGUCUCAAACACUGAAAGACAUGAGCACGACAUACGCAACUUCAAUGACUGCCAUGUAUGAACCUACAGAACUCGUCAACACCUUCGACUGCGCGAGUUAUCGCAUUUUGCAGAUGCUCUCCACCGCGGCGUUUCGCUCCGGCACUCGGCAACGUCCGCAUCAUGGCGAUCUCCGUCCUCAAGCUGGCUUAAACUCCCCAACGCUCUGUGGGCAUUCUUCCGUUAGAAUGAUUUGAGCGCCAGCGGCCGUCUACUCCGCUCGCUAGUAGUCGCGAUCUGCUCAGGAUAAUAUCGAUCACAGUCAGAUAGGUCCGAACAUAGCUCCAUGGUCUAGGCAGAUCGGCCAGAGCAAAGAGCGACUGAUCAUGGUGGUGUCGGCGAUGGCAGAACGCCUCCCGCGUCUCUCAUUCCGAUGUUUGCAGAUCUGUUACGCCGGCCUCUGCAAAUGGCCGUGUUGGCCACGGUGUAGGCGGCCUAGAGCGCAUGCGUAGCGAGCGAGAGGGAGGCGCAAGACGAUCACGUUCUGGCUUACAUGUUGCCAAAGAGUUUAACGUCCACUAGGACGGGUCCCUCAAUAGAACGGUCAAAGACUAGCUCGCCUAGGAUCGGAAUGAGAGACGGCUCUAGCCGCUCUCAGACGCGACCUAUAUCCUCUCUCGGAUCACCCGUACUCCGGCCUCCCAUGCAAUACACCAUGUCGGGCCAACCAACCUCGGGCACGUUCCCCUAUUCCCACACGCCAAAACCACAUCCAAAUCACUCAGUCACACGAUAUGCACGGUCACACGCCAGGUCACGACACCCGCCUCGGUAUGUAGCGGCAUGGCCCCCCCAUCGUAUGCCUGCCUUGGCACCAGUGCUCUCUCUCUCACACGUUCUCUCACCGGCUCGACGCUACCCGCCAAUACUCAUGCACUUGCAACGUUGGUGCGGAUGAAUAGGCAAUUGAACGUCAGCCCGUGUUCACCCACCCCCUUCGACGUGCACUUGCAAAUCGCAGUGGCACCAUUCCCGCG
rnacentral:lncRNA from 1 species